CCUACGGGUGGCAGCAGUGAGGAAUAUUGGUCAAUGGGCGCGAGCCUGAACCAGCCAAGUCGCGUGAGGGAUGAAGGUUCUAUGGAUCGUAAACCUCUUUUAUAAGGGAAUAAAGUGUGGGACGUGUCCUAUUUUGUAUGUACCUUAUGAAUAAGGAUCGGCUAACUCCGUGCCAGCAGCCGCGGUAAUACGGAGGUUCCGAGCGUUAGCCGGAUGUAUUGGGUUUAAAGGGUGCGGAGGCGGCCUUUUAAGUCAGCGGGGAAAGUCUGUGGUUAAACCAUGGAAUUGCCGUUGAAACUGGGGGGCUUGAGUAUGUUUGAGGCAGGCGGAAUGCGUGGUGUAGCGGUGAAAUGCUUAGAUAUCACGCAGAACCCCGAUUGCGAAGGCAGCCUGCCAAGCCAUGACUGACGCUGAUGCACGAAAGCGUGGGGAUCAAACAGGAUUAGAUACCCUAGUAGUC
rnacentral:rRNA from 1 species